rnacentral:lncRNA from 1 species
ACGAAAUCAGCAAGGGGGGGAGCCAUUGUUAGGGUUUUCAAGCUUCCAAGCUCCAUAGUAAGUGAUUCUAAGCCCCGUUUUUAAUGUUCUUUACGUUUCUGAAGUCCCGGUAACUUGAUUUUGCUUAUUCUAGCAAUAAUUUAAUCUAUGGUUUAUAUUUGGAAAAAUACCCAUAUGUGAAAUGUGUUUAUUUUGAUGUUUUAUGGUAGAAUAUGAAUCUAGAAAUUAUGUUAAGCAACUUUUGCUAAGCGAUUUUGAGUGAAAACGAGUAAAACGACAUAAUCGAUAAAAAUACUAAAUGUUCAUAAGUAAGUGUUAGAGUGGGAAUUUGGUGUUGCCAUAGAAGGGAAAAAUGUUCAACAUGUCACAAUACAUAAGAAUAAGGGAUAAAUUUUAAUUUCCGAGCCUAGGGGCAAAAUUGUAAUUUUGUGAAACUUUGGGGGAAAAAAUGUAAUUUUGCCAAAAUGUGAUUUUUGGACUGGAUUGAAUAAUGUGAGUGUUAAAUAAGUUAAAUGUGUUAUUAUAAGUCAAGAAAGACAAGGAAUUGACUUUGAUUAGUAAAAAAAAAAAAAAAAAAGUGAGAAAUUUCCCGAUUGAACAUUCGGAAUAAAAAGGGAUACGAAUGAAGUGACAGAAAUGAUCACAUAUGUGGCAUGGACUGUGUGUAGGCCACUAUGUGAAAGUGAUGGUCACGUGUGUAGUACUAUGUGUAGGCUACUACAUGUACCAGAAUGAUAGAUCGCAUGUGUAGUACUAUGUGCAGGCUACUAUGCGUACUGGAUAGCUUCGAUCACGUGUGUAGUACUAUGUGUAGGCUACUACGUAUAUCAGAAUGAUAGGUCGUAUGUGUAGUACUAUGUGCAGGCUACUAUGCGUACCGGAUAACUUCGAUCACGUGUGUAGUACUAUGUGCAGGCUAUUACGUGUAUCGGAUAGUGAUGGUCACAUGUGUAGUACUAUGUACAUGCUACUAUGUGAAUUCGCAUCAUUGAAUAUAAAGAUGGUUGCUAAGUGCUGAUUCCACCGUAUCCUUGACUGUGAAAGGGGUUGCUAUGUGCUGAUUCCCCGUAUCAUUGAUUAUAAGGUGGUUGCUAAGUGCUGAUUCCACCGUGUAACGGUUAAUGUUCCGAAGUGUUCAUCGGGGAAAUUAGAUAAGUGAAAAUAUAUGUGAAUCGAAUAAGGUUACGUGAUGAAUAUUUGGUUCGAUAUUUAAUCGACCCUUAAGUAGGAUGAAAAGAAGUAAUGAAAUUAUGAAAAAGUAAAAUGUGCAACAAAACAGUUUUAGACAGUAACAAUAGUGUGACUUUGAAAAAUCGCCAAAAAUGGUGGGAAUUGAAUUAGAGAGUGAAUAAGAUAUGAAAUGAAAGAUUAAGGAGUAUAUUUUUACAUGAAAGAAACAAGGGAAGCAAAAGAGUUACACAUUUUUAUAUAUUUGAAUUUUAGUGAGGCAGGGUCGGAUUGAUUUCGGAAUCCCCUGUUUUGACUUUGGAAAAUAGUUAAAAAUUGUACAAAAAUAAUUAUGAGUUAUAAUUUAUAUGCUUAGAAUCCUUAAUGAGUCUAUUUUCAAAUAAAAGAAACGUAAAUAUCAUCUGAAUUAUGUACAAUGAGAUAAUUCAUUUUUAGUGAAGAGAGGUCUGUGAUGUUGAGCAGUGAAAAAGGGGUGAAUUUAAAGAAUAAACUGUACUAAUUGGCCAAGUCAAAAAUUCUGAAAAUUUUAUGGUAAGAAUACAUGAGAGUCUAGUUUCAGGGAAAAUUAAUGGAUAUUAAUUUGGAGCUCUGUAGCUUCAGAUAAAAAUGAUUUAGUGACUCUGACUCAAAUAGACAGCUUUGAAUUUAAAUAUAAGUGGAAAUUAUGUAUAAUGCUAUUUAAGCAUGUUUUAUACAUAAAGGAUGUGGAAUGGAGAGGAGGAGGAGGACAAUAAAAUGUAUGAAAGAAUUGUGUAUAAUGGUCAUAUGCCCGAUUAUAAUCAGUAAAUGUUAAAUUGAAUGGUAAAUACGUAUUGGUACCGAAGGAACUAUUGCAGUGUUGAAAAGCAAUUGAUCAAAUAUCUAAGAAAUUUAGUCAUGAUAUAUAUAUAUAUAUAUGAUAAUAAUGAUAUAUGGAUGAUUAUAUCAUUGAGUUGCAUUGAUUAAUUCGGUUUAUGUGAUGGAAAUGUCAAGAACAUUUGUCUUUGAUAUGUGAUGAUCAUGGUUUAAGCUCAUAAGGUAAAAUAAAGUUUCAUAGUAUGAGAGUGUGGUAUUGAAAUAUAUAUAUUGGAUUGAGAAAUUAAUUUGAAUUGUGAACACGAAAUAUUGUGAAUUGAAUAAAAUGGAAAUGGAGCUUUGAAUUACAUGAGUAAGUAUCGGGUCUCGUAGGCCAUAUUUGUUAUGAAUAUAAUAUUUUGAGGAUAUGUUAUAAAGAAUUAUAAAAGCAUGUUAAAAAUUUGAAGAGUUUAAAUUUGAAUGAAAUUUUGUAACUCGGUUUAAUACGUUUACAUGUGUAAGUGUUCUAGUAAUGCCUCAUACCCUAUUCCGGAGUUGAAUACGGGUAAGGGGUGUUACAUUUGCCAGUUUAUGCAUGCACCCACUACUAUACAUCUAGUUGCAUUAAAAUGCAUAUUGCGGUAUUUGUGUGGUACUCUAGACUAUGGGAUUGUGUUUCGUCCGUUUACUCGACUCUCUUUAGUUGGUUAUGUCGAUGCAAAUUGGGGGUUGAAUUUUGAUGAUUGUCAAUCCACAAUUGGCUAUUGUGUCUAUUUUGGUCAUAACCCAAUAUCAUGGUGUUCCAAGAAACAAGAAGUUGUAUCUCGGUCCACAGUUGAAGCUAAAUAUCGAAGUCUUGCUGCAGCAACAAGUGAUGUUCUUUGGCUGACUUCGUUAUUAAAAGAAUUACAACUUCAGUCUAACGAUUCCCUUACUGUCUGGUGUGACAACUUAAGUGCAGUUGCAGUUGCUGCGAAUCUUGUUUUACAUUCUAAGUUUAAACAUGUGGAGCUAGAUUUGUUCUUUGUCCGUGAGAGAGUUGCUGAUGGGUCUUUAGUUGUGAGUGAAGUACCUGCGUGUGAUCAGAUUGCUAACAUUUUUACUAAGGGUGGGUUUGGAUGGGCGAUUGGGUGCGGUGCGUUUAGCUUACUUUUUGUCUCACGCUACAGUAUCGCUACAGCAUCUAAUCUCACCACCACCGCUGUUUUUACACUAACCGCAGGUAAAUGCACCACCCAUCCAAACUCACCCUAAGCAUUUAUCUGUUUCUUCUUUCGCUCGGUUUAGAAGUCUUCUUCAGGUGUUACCCGUCAAGAAGAUGGGUGAAUGUUAAAAUACAAAAUAACAGUUGUUAGUGUUGUUAGGAAUCAGUUCAGCAGUUAGUUUGUUAUUCUUAUCAAUCUGUUAAUCUGUUAGCAGCAGUUAUGAACAAUAGCUAAACUCAUGUAAUCUAUAAAUAUAAUAAUGGUAGAGGAAGGAACAAAUUCCUAUUUUCUUGAUCAAAAUAAUCAUACUUUGUUCAUUGAAAGAUUUUAACAAACAGUAACAAUGGCGUUAUCCAAUCAAGAAACAGAAAUUGUUUCCCUUAAUCACUUUCACGGCAUCUCAAUCUGCACUGUCAGCAAACAAAACAGGGGAAGAAAAAGACAGUUUCAUACUGAUAUUUGUUGAAUCCAUGGCUUCUUAAUACAAAGUAUGUUAAUGUAAAGGAAAGCCGACGCAUCAAGAGGAAGACUGAGGUAUACUGCAGAUGAAAUCAGAGUCAUCUCCUUCGUGGUUGAAGGCAAAGAAUCUAUGAAACUACCAGUGACAAAAUCAUUAAAGUUGCUACUCUGCAAUAUAAGUUACCCCAGUCUGGCCACUUUCUGUAAGCACCUCGAAGUUUCUAGCACUGAAUGACUCAUUUUUCAAAUAAACUUGUCUUGUAAGUUCUGAAUAAGCACAAUAAUCUACUUCAAUCACAUUAGUGUCCUCCUUGAAUGCAGAAACUGAAACUCCAACUCCUUCCCCUGCCAUAGGAUAUGUACGGCGACUUUAAUAGAAAUAGAAUGACAUUGUUUAAAAUCGACGGGGCAAAGGUAAAAAAUUGGGCCAAAUGUGUAGGACAAAGUGAAUAAUCAACAUAUUGUUGUCUAAUAUCGAAGAAUGUAGCUUACCAUGUGUCACUAACAGCAAGUUUUGAGAUGGGUAUUUAUCCGCCAGCGCCUUAAUAAUUUGUUCAUAUCUACUCCUUGCAUCCCUUACUGUCUCUUCCCAUUGCGGCAACUGUGAUUUUCAGACGAAGAAGUUAAAUCAGGCAGAUUAAACAUCGUCAAGCUACACUGACAAAAAUCUUAAGUUGUAGAAAAAGGGAAAUAGAUAAAAACGCACUGCAAAUAGCCAAAUGCUACCUCUUUAUAAACUGGUUCCACCGUAGGAUCUACCGUGCCACUUGGUAUCAGAGCCUCGAGCUGUGGAACGUCGAAACGAAAGAUUCCAUCUUUGGGCGCAACAUCAAUCCUAAUUGCUGUUUUAUUUAGCAUCUCACACAGCCCGUAUUCGAUUGAAACCUGCAAAAUACAACAAAAUGGGCUCAAGCAUAGAGAUGAAGAAAAAAAUUUGCUCAAAUUAUGAUUUAAAUAUUAAAUAGGUGUCGAAUUUCAAAACUCCUGAUUUAGUUAUUAAAUUAUUAGUACAAUUUGACAAGUAAAAUAAAAAACCUAGCUCAUAUUUUACGAUUUGACCAGAUGUUCUUAAAUACGCGUACGAUUUGAUCUAAUUUGAUCAGAUCUGGAUGAUAGUUUGGGAUGUUUAGUGUCAAAAGGAAAAAAGGGGGAAAAGUUGUUUUGACCUGACCUUGACUCUGGAAGGGUCGAUGGCAACGACGUCGUUGGAUGACUUGGCAUUAGGAUCGUCAUCGACGGAGCAAAGGGCAGCCACAACCUCGGAGGCAGUCUGGAUGCAGCGGAGAAAGGGAGAGACGAAGACUCGGUGGAUUGGGAAAGGUAGGCGGGUUCGAAACUCACGGCCCGUGCCAAAAGCCCUGUGUAGGCCAUUCUGUAUGAGCGGUGGAUCCCAUGGUCUGUCGGCCGUCUUUUCCCACGUGGGAUCGAAGUUGUCCAAACGGUCGCCGUGCCUCAUUACCAACACGUUCUGCUGAUAAGUUUUUGUGUCCAAGGGAUCCAUCGAUGCCGCCAUAAGGUUUAGCUUUCUCCUAGGAAUCAAAGGUUUUUUGCGUCUGCAAAUGGAGAUUGGAGUUCGGAAAGAAGCAAUGAAGCAGUUGCACAAUGUUCCUGUUCUCCCCAUGCCUAUCUUCCCUUGUUAUAGUCGUUGUUUUCCUAUAUUUUUUUAAUAAGACGUCGAUUAAAAUAUGGAGAUCCUGGGGAAAAAAAUGCUUUUUAUUUUUAUUUUGUAUUACCCAAUGCGUGCACCAUUAGGUAAUGUAAGAGCGUCUUCCUGGGAAGCUGCAAAAGGCUAGUGUGGAUUUGUGGUGAAAACGAAAUAGUUUUCAUGGUGAGAUAUUUUCUGCAAACGAGGUUGGGAUAACACGACAUGUAUGGGGUGGUUUGCUUGUUCUCUUGUACUCAUCGCUUGCAUGGAGUUGAAUUUACCCAUUGAAAUGUAAAAAAUAAAAGUUGAAUUAUUACUUUUUAACAACAUUACAUUGUGACAGCUCGAUUUGUAAUCCACAUUUACUUGAUGAUAAUUUUUUUUGAAUUUUCUAAGGAUGGGCUUACUAAAUUUCUGAGGCUCCUUCAAAACACCGCAAGUGUGAGGGAAAUAAGAAGGUUGACCUGGUUUGCAAGAAUCCAAGAGCAUUUGGAUGGUUCAGGGAUGUUGGAUUCUUUUUUUGGGUAUAAAAACAAGAUAAAACCUACUGAAUGCAGAACACAAGUCUAAUUCAUUUGGAGAAACCUGUCCUCUUCAUGUGUGUUAUAUAUAGGUGCAAUUCAUGCACAGCUUUAUGAAUAUUGGUUAUUAGGAGCAAAAGGUACAAACACUAAGGACAAUGCCUAUGAAAAAUUAAGAAGCUACCACUUGUGAUCAGUGUUAAGAGUUGAUACGCACCAUUUAUAGCCCCC